GUAAAACCUUUUCUCUAUCAAAAUGUGAAAAGUAUUAGGUUUACCACAUCACAAUCUUCAACAAAAUAUACAUCAUAUCUAUAUAAUAUAACCCACACAAUAUUGAAGCUACCGUAAAUCAUGGCCGCUCGCUCUGCUGCCACAAGUUAAUGAUAUCAGUAGCCUGAUUAAGAAGAAUAAUGACCUGCUUUUGAGAUAUCCAUGGCUUACUCUCCAGCAUCACCUUAAGUUCUUCCCAGGCAUCCUUUCUUGGCCAAAAGUAAUAGGGACUGACCGGAAUGGUCCCGUAACCAGGAAUCACUUGGUCCAGGGCUAACCCGAUGUUUUUAUCCAUCCAUGUGAACUUCAGCACCAGUCUUGUCUUCUCCAUCGGCUUCACCACCACUCCAAGCUUCUACAAGUUUCACACAAUCCAAUCAGCAACCUGUUAUUUUCCUUUGAGUUAAGUGUCAUUUACGUCCCUGUAGGUUGUCCACUUUUGCCAUUUCAGGGAGGAAAAUGGGACAUAAAUGGCACUUAACUCUUUUCUUAUAAAUUGCGGUUUCUAGGUUUAAUAUUUGAAACUUUUAAACCGUUGUGCCUGACAAAGAGACCAUUGAUC
rnacentral:lncRNA from 1 species